rnacentral:tRNA from 1 species
GGCUCCCUGCGGUGGCUCCCGCUGUCCGCUCGCGUCGGACAGGGCAGCCCCCCAGGGGGAGAAAAGGGAGGUUCGAUCCCCCCGGGGGGCU